UACGUAGGGUGCGAGCGUUGUCCGGAAUUAUUGGGCGUAAAGGGCUCGUAGGCGGUUUGUCGCGUCGGGAGUGAAAACUCAGGGCUUAACCCUGAGCCUGCUUCCGAUACGGGCAGACUAGAGGUAUGCAGGGGAGAACGGAAUUCCUGGUGUAGCGGUGAAAUGCGCGGAUAUCAGGAGGAACACCGGUGGCGAAGGCGGGUCUCUGGGCAGUAACUGACGCUGAGGAGCGAAAGCGUGGGGAGCGAACAGG
rnacentral:rRNA from 1 species